rnacentral:lncRNA from 1 species
GGCUUUACAACUAUUAAAAUCUUAUCGUUUAAAUAUGAACAAAAAGCUUCUAAAAUUAUUUCAAUUUUUGUCUAAGAAACAAGCCUUAAAUAAUUUGCAUGUAUCCUGUGAAAAAAGGGAUCAAUUGAGAAUUUUACAAGUGAAUCUUUAGAUCUUCUUUCAUGCCAAAGAUGAUGAAAUUUCAGCACUGAUGACAAUUAACUCAGAGAGUUUAACACAAAAAAAGGUAGGUUUAAAGGUGUGCACAUAUAACAGUACAUCUUAAGACAACACAUUAAAGGCAUCCCCAUCAGGUACAUAUGCAAGUAAAAAACACAAAAGACAAUUGAAGAAGAUCAUGAAAGAACCCCUGAGCAAGAAAAGAUGGAUGCAGCUAAGAAGAGUUCCUGGGCAGAUAUUUGACAAUAAAAACAUGAAAAUAAUCUAUGACUGAUAGCUAUGUAGUACAAUACUAUGAUUUAGAAACUGAAGAUCACCAAAACUCACAGUAGCAAAUUCACACCAACGACUAAUCUCACUCAGCCUCUCCAAAGGGGAGAUAGAAUGAUGCCCACAUUAUAUAAAAAAAACCCAAUGAUAAUGCACCCAGCAGCUCGACGACAUAUUCCCUAAAAUAAUACAAUCAAACCAGGGAAGGUACCAGAAAAGAACUCUUGCACCUGUUUUCAUGUUGUUCAGGUUGAAAUAUGUGUUUGAUGGAACAAAAUAUAGAUAAUCAAGUACCCAAGUUUAUCUCAACAAGGCAUGUGAUGAACCCAAAGUAAAGAUAAGUCAAAGAACACAGAUUGCAGAAUUUCCAGAUUUAAUUUUUCAAAUUCAGUCUAAAACAAGAAAUUUCACCAAAUCAUGCGUUCAGAGCUAAAGAUGACAGUGAAGAAAAAUAGCAUUGAUGACCAACUGAAGGCUAAUUGUGGAUUGAGCAGCAAUAUAAUGGUUCUUACAACAUGAAGCCAGAAAUGAGAUCAGAAUAGGGGAUUGCUAUUAACAAAAGGGAUAGAGCUACACAUCUGCAAUAAGUUUGUAGAGCAUGCAUGACCUAGCAUCAGAAUGACCUUCUAGCAUAAAGGGAAGGAAAAGAGCAAAGAUGAAUAACAGAGACAAAGAUUGAACUAAUAACAAAUAAAGAAAAAAAAAGGUAGCCUGAACACUUUUGUACCUAAGACCCCCUCUCAGAGAUCUGACCACGUGAUAGGACCUUUGUGCCUCAAAUUUGAAACACAUCACAAGCAGAAAAGAAAGAACCACUUGUGUCAUCACCCUUUGAAAUUAGUAAUGCAAUAUUUAUGAGAAACGAAAAAUAAUUCAACCUAUACUUUUCUUUUUUAAUUCAACCUAUACAUAUGGAGUUAUAAUUGUGCAAUGGGAAACCACGGUGGCUGAUAUCAGCCUGAUAUCAGCCUUCAUCGCACUUAGUGAACAGUCAAUCACCCCACCCUUCUAGUCUCUCACUGUUCCAUUUCUAAUUGUCUCCAUCAGUACAUGCAAAGGACUAAAGACUAGCUACAACAUAAGGUCAAUAUAAUGUCCAAAUUACAUAGGUAGGUUAGCAGCAGCUCUAGAUAGUACUAAAAUCUUACGUAGCGGAUGAUAGUCGAAAAAGAAAUAAGCCAAAAAAAGUUUUAAU